GCAAGUCGAGCGCUUCACUUCGGUGAGGAGCGGCGGACGGGUUAGUAACGCGUGGGAAUAUACCCUUUUCUACGGAAUAGCCUCGGGAAACUGAGAGUAAUACCGUAUACGCCCUUUGGGGGAAAGAUUUAUCGGAGAAGGAUUGGCCCGCGUUAGAUUAGAUAGUUGGUGGGGUAAUGGCCUACCAAGUCUACGAUCUUUAGCUGGUUUGAGAGGAUGAUC
rnacentral:rRNA from 1 species